AUGCUUCACAUCAAUGUGAUAACAACUGCAGCAACAACUCCUUGUUUCGCUCACCAACAUAAACGCUUGGCAUUAACAACCACAAUUCAACACCUAUCGUCAGAUAGGAUUUUAGAGAAGAAAGAGGAAGAAGACAUGUUUGCAGAAAAUGAAGAAAUCACAGUUCAUUACUUGAAGAAACGCAAGGAUAUCUGGAAUUUCGAUAAUUCCGCAGACUUCAAAGAAUCGCCGGAAUAG